rnacentral:rRNA from 1 species
UACAGAGGUCUCAAGCGUUGUUCGGAUUCAUUGGGCGUAAAGGGUGCGUAGGCGGCGCGGUAAGUCGGGUGUGAAAUCUUGGAGCUUAACUCCGAAACUGCAUUCGAUACUGCCGUGCUUGAGGACUGGAGAGGAGACUGGAAUUUACGGUGUAGCGGUGAAAUGCGUAGAUAACGUAAGGAAGACCAGUGGCGAAGGCGGGUCUCUGGACAGUUCCUGACGCUGAGGCACGAAGGCCAGGGGAGCAAACGGG